rnacentral:lncRNA from 1 species
UGAGUACUCAUGCUCCAUCUGGAUCAGCAAUAGUAGUGGUAGCGGCAGCAGCAUCAGCAGUAGCAGACAUUAUCUUUGAUCUUGUUCAGCCACCUGCUUCAUAGCCACUCUAGAGUGCACCCAUCUAGCCUUCCACUUCCACUCGCCACCUUCUCAACCUCUUAGGACUUACUCUAGAGCAAUUGCAGGAGGUCCCUCUACCCACACUAGGAGUAGGUCUGGUUUCCCCAUCGCUAGGACUAGCUCCUCCACCACCCAUGAGGUCUCAUCCGAUGAGGAUCAGACCUAGUUUAUCCUCUAGGACUUAGUUAUGAUAUUCUUAUUUCUAUGUGUGCUCUAGGACUUAGUUUAUGUUUUCAGUUGUAUGAAGGUAUCAGUGGUGUUUGUACUAUAUGUGUCUCAUUUCUUGUAUAUAGUACAUAAUUCUAUGAUUAUUGUACUUCUUUUCUACAUUAAUGAAUGCCAACUUUUAUA